CCUGAGGGGGCUGCUUUUAGACCUCACUCAUGUGGAUGACAGCUGGACUUCGGUGUGACAGAGACAGUAAAGAAUGAAGAGGAAGGGAACCACCAGCAGCUUUUCCCAGCCUAAAAGAAGAGAGGAGGAAGAGCAUCCCAGAGAGGAGAUGGAGGAGGAAGAGUUCAGAGAAAGAAAUGAAGGCAUGCAGAGGUCAGACACAGAAAGGUGGCGCUAUGACUGUGCAUGGAUAUUGGCAUAUGGAUGUGAUCAGGACAGGACUCUGAUCAAACAUGAAGUUGGAGGCAGACUGGAGCAUGUAGACGGCAGUUAGACAACACUUCCUGUUUCAUGGCAGAACAUCAACAUUGAGGGGGUCGCCAUGGACACACCCUUCAGACUUCUGUGAAAGAUUUUGACAACUUUUCAUCACUAAGGUAUGUUGUAUAUACUGGACAAUUUUGAGGUCUGUAUGAGGGGCUAACCCCUGAAAAUGACCAAAAAUAACAAAAAAUCUCACAGUUUAAGCAAAAUGGCCGACUUCCCGUUGGGUUUAGGGUUUGUCUCCUAGAGGCUUUGAUGUUCACCACAUAUGCCUGGUAAAUUUAGUAGAUGUAGGUGAAACGUUCUGCCCGUAGUAACACUAUGGAGCCAUUUUUCCUCACACAUGCAUAAAAACAUACAUUUUGUUGCCAUUUCUGAUGCGUGUACAAAUUACUUUGAGUGUUUGAGAAUGUUUAGGGCUUCAAAAAUGUGAAAAAUAG